AUACGUAGGGUGCGAGCGUUGUCCGGAAUUACUGGGCGUAAAGAGCUCGUAGGUGGUUUGUCGCGUCGUCUGUGAAAUUCCGGGGCUUAACUCCGGGCGUGCAGGCGAUACGGGCAUAACUUGAGUACUGUAGGGGAGACUGGAAUUCCUGGUGUAGCGGUGAAAUGCGCAGAUAUCAGGAGGAACACCGGUGGCGAAGGCGGGUCUCUGGGCAGUAACUGACGCUGAGGAGCGAAAGCAUGGGUAGCGAACAGGAUUAGAUACCCUGGUAGUCCAUGCCGUAAACGGUGGGCGCUAGGUGUAGGGGUCUUCCACGACUUCUGUGCCGUAGCUAACGCAUUAAGCGCCCCGCCUGGGGAGUACGGCCGCAAGGUUGAAACUCAAAGGAAUUGGCGGGG
rnacentral:rRNA from 1 species